CUUAAUCCGUUACUCUUUCAUCCGUAUUGCUUCAUUCUAUCCCGAUCGAUGGCCUCUGAAAGUGGUCGUUGCAUCGUGUCCCAUGAUGGUUCAUGGGGAAAUUUCGGGCAAAGUCUGGCUCGCGCAGAUGUUACAAUGUUCGCGAAAUGUUCUGAUCUUCUCCAUUCUGUGGAAGCAAUAGCCUUCGAUCGAAGAUGCGCCGUUUGAAAUAUAAUUGGAGGAUCGUAUUCAAGUAAUGCUCAUAUUGGAUGUCUAAUUUGUACUUUAAAUUAUUAUAUGGAAGUACGCAAUUGGAAAAUUCAUCUUCUCAUUUAUUCCAUUAAUGAAAAAUGGAGCUUAAAUCAUUCCACUCAGCUGUAUCGUGCAUCGACGAUAUUUCCACGUACAAGAUCGAGUCUUCGAAUACAGUUAAAAUAGGCAUGACCGUGUUGCUUAAACUAUAUAUAAGAUACGACGAGGCGGACGAGGAUGAAUCUCUGAAGAGAAGAACAAAGGUGGAAUCGCGUGAAUGCAAAUUCUUGGCUGCACGUGUGCAUACUUUGGUUCACUUGUUGUUCUUAGCUUAAUACUAAAGCAAUCAGACUCGUCAAAAUCAUCGAUCGCCAAAUUUUUAUUUCGAUAUUGAUAACGAUUCACUAAGUAUUCUAAAUUUAUUUUACGCCCUCUUUAUCGAAUAUCUUCUAAAGGUCAGCCACGAAUUAUAUUUAUUUAAAAAAAAAGGUAAAUUCUUUUUUUCAUUUCUUUCUUUGAUAUUUUCAGCCUGUUUCGUAAGAAGUGUCCUCGUUCUUAUCAACAUUUCGAAAGGUGACAUCACGUUUAUAUACGAUCCAUCGAAGCGAAGACACUUGUGGACAUGGUUUAACAUUUUUCUCCGGUUUUUCUCCUCUUCGCAAAGUUGAUUUUUCUCUGAAAACACGGGCCAAGAGUGAGAAAACGAUAACGCAUCGUAUCUGAUGAUAAUAUUUACACGUCGCGACGUUUUAUCGUUUUAGUCACCCUUCGAUUCGGUUAAGGGACUUCUUUUUCACGAUUUUAUCUUCUCCGUGUACUCUGUUUACAGAUUUCAAUUCGUUUUUGCCUCAAAAAGUAAACAUUAAAAUUUUUUUUUCUUCAGGGUCUCCAAUCUCAAUCGAUAGUUCUUCGGAUAAUGGAAAAGGAAGAAAUUUAAUCUUCUUAUUGGAGAAAUGACAGGAAAUGUAUCAAGGAUUGCUUUUCAUUUAUGAUAAGCGAUUAACGGGAGAUUUAAUUGCAUCGGCUAUUUAAUGACAAUUAAAUCUUGUUUAGAGAAGGAAUGAUUAAACUCUUUGCAUCUGCAGAUGAGUCACUGCCAGGAACGAGUGUGUAAUAAUUCUUAUCCGAAGACGUAAUUAAGAGAAAUCGUUGUUAAUUGAACCGUUGAUACUCGGUUAAUUCAAACAACGUUCCCAUACUGAUCUAUCUCUGGCAUAAUUGUAUUCAAAUUGAAUUUCCUCUAGUUCAACGAAGCAUACGUAUACACCCACGAUUCUCAGUUCAAUCGAAUCGCCAAAAGUCCAAUUUCCGAAGUAUAAAUAUUAAUGUUAUAAUUUUACCGUUUCACGAAAAGAAGCAGCAAGCAGGCAUGGGUUUAAUCUUCCGUGCGUCGGUUCGCAUAAACAAUCCUCACGGUUUAUAUUCUAGCCAUUUGGUGCGCUUAAACGAAUUCUAGAUAUUUUACUGAGAGUCUGGAUCUUUGUUUAAAGCCAGUUACAGACAAAGGGUGCUCGACGAAGGUCCGUCGUAAAAAUCGACGCCAAGAAACGAACAGGAUCAGUGUUUUUUUUUUUGCCUACAAGGGUCCUGGUAGACGAACUUAGAGGGCGAAUCGAAGAUAGACGAAUAAAAAUGCUGUUCGUUACGAGGCUGAAUGUUUUCAUUAAACUGAACAGAUUAAAUUGCACUUCGAUCGGAAUAUCGCGGAUACAAAUGACCCUUGAUGGUGAUCUUCUUUUCGCUGGGAGAAUCCGCAAGGAUAAAACGAUCUCGUUAAAAUGAAGGACCCUUGUGGAGACAACGGGGGCAGGCUCGCUUGUUACUUGGAUUGAAUUAAUUCGAACGUGGGUAGGGGGGUUUCUUGAGAUAACGAUCGUAUUGUCAAGACUGAGGAGAAGGUAAUUUGAGGAUGAAGGAUUCUUUAAAAUGUUGAAAUGAACGGUGUUCAUGCGGACCGACGAGAGUAUACCUAUUAUGGAUAUUGACCUGAAUAUCGAGUACACAUAAGUGGGGUUUGCCCUGGCUUCAUUGAAUAAAUACACCUUUGUUAGAUCAUCGAUAAAUCAUUCUGAUAAAAUCUCUCUUUAAACAAUUAACUGAGUACACAUUGCAAAAAUCGUGGUUUAACUUUUUAUUAUAAAUGAAGUGCAAACAAACUUGAAAUCAUGUAAAAAGUAGGACUCACAAGCAGGCUUUUUAAUUUCCACUUGAAAAGGAAAUUUGACUUUGUAACCAAAGUGAGGUGAAUGUUUUCCGGAAAUGUAAAGUAACAGGAUCACAGAAAAACAGCAGAAUUUCAUAACUCCAUCUAAAGAUGCUCAUGAAUCAGUGAAACAAAUAACGUCAUAGUGGUUUCCGGAUUUUUCUGAAUUAAUUCAAGAACGAGUUAUCAAAUAUUACUCAACGAUUCUAAAAAUACAAAAGGAUUGUUCGAUGAUCGUUGGUUUUCUCAUAAAUACUGUUUACCAGAAGCAAAUUUUUAAUAGGCCCAAUCGUAAUGCCGUCGAAGGAAAUUCUUAUCUAGGAAGUAGCGAAAUCCCAGAUCGAGGUGAAAGUAAAUUUAUUUCCUAUUCAUUAUCAUUUUUAUUCACUCAUUUAUUUUUUUUUUUAUCCGAUAGCGACGAAACGUAAUUUAAUAGACUUCCACCGGUGCAUUUUAAUCGAUUAUUCUGUUUCAAUCUCCAAACGGUGAACAGGCGACGGUUUCCGGAAAUUACGUUAAAAUACGAUUCGAUUGAAAGUGAAAAAUGUUGCAACUUGUUUCCAAGAAUAUUACAAGCAGUAAAACAACUUCGAUCGCGUUACAACGCGUUCGACGUGAAACGAAUCGCGGCGAACGAAUAUGAACGUCGACAAGUACCCGAGGAGAGUUACUGAAGCGGCUCUUUGCAAAUAUCACGUAUCAUUAUUAGUGACGCGUCGAAAUAUAUGAUCGCUAGAUCUGGUGAAAGGGAAUCUCUCCUCUCUUUCGCAUUUUCCAUUCGUUUCGCAUGGCGUUUCAGUCUCCUGUAACUUAUACCAGGUUUAAGUAAAACAUAAAACGUGAUAAAGUAUCUUCAGAGAUACCUGUAUUUUCAAAAGCUCACUAGGUACGAUUCAACUACAUUUCUAUUUUAUAUGUAUGUAUAAUUACAGAUAAGAACUGUAAAACAAAAUAUUCUGUUAUUCUUAACUUUUCAACACAGUUUCUAUUAUAUGUAUCUACAGAAUAAGUUACCCGAAUGUUAAGCACGACUUUACAAAAAUUCCCUUUUUUUCCGUAGGAAUAAUUUCUCCGGCUUCUUCCGACGGAUUUCACGCCGUUUCUUCGUCGUCGCCGGGACGGAACUGGGAAAUCGUGAAAAACAUGAAUGAAAAGUAGCACGCAGACAAAAGAGAAAGGGCAAAAAACGAUUCUGGUUUCACGCUAGAGCUUUAUAUUCAUCGCGCGAAAGCUUUUCAUUA